rnacentral:lncRNA from 1 species
UUGCUGAUUACAAGCCUGGUGUGACUUGAAGGGGGAAAGAGAGAGAGAGAGAGAGAGGAAGGAAAACAGAGGGAGAGACGGGCUCCUCGGGAGAAAAAGCCAUUCAAUUUACGGAAUAAAUCCUUCGAGUAAACUCGAUUUGUGUGCCAGCAACCCGGCAGCUCUUCCCGGCCCCGCACCGCGCUGACCUACGCGUAGGGCAGCGGGUGCGGGGCCGGGAAGGGCCACCGGGCUCCUCUUCCCCUUCCCUCCUCGUCCUCUUCGAAGAAGCGCCCUCCGUCCCUGCGCCUGCCGGGCUGGCCCGGUCGCCGGUACCGGGGGCCUGGGGAGGCGGCCCCUGGCCUUAGCGAGAGUAUCGGUUCGCCAUUUACGUGGUUGAUCUCAGCUAGGCUGUGUUGAGAACCUCGUGGAAAGUUCCUGUCCUCAAUGGAUGACAAACUAGGUGGAAGCAUAUGAGUGUGAAGAGCUUUUUUCCUGAGCAGCUUCAUUCAGGUAUUUCCGUUUUCUGCACAAACGACCCAAUACUCUGGAGGCAAAAGCUAUCACUGUGGGGAUGGGGACCUCUCCUGUAGAUUACUUCUGCAUGUGUGACGUGCAUCUCUCCAAAGCGCCUCUUCCACCCCCGUCCCAACCCGAGGUGCGUGGGUCCGUGGCCGUCGGGCCUUCGCUGCGGGGACGGUCCGGCUGGGGCCUGCGGGGACAGACCCUCACCCCUCUCCCCCCUCACCCCCCCUCCUCCCGGGAAGCCUCAGGGCCACCAUCCCGGCGGCCGGACCCCCACCCCCGGGGCCGCAGGUGA